GUGUCCUGUAGUGGGGGAUAGCCCGGCGAAAGCCGGAUUAAUACCGCAUACGCUCUGCGGAGGAAAGCGGGGGAUCCUUCGGGACCUCGCGCUACAGGGGCGGCCGAUGGCAGAUUAGCUAGUUGGUGGGGUAAAGGCCUACCAAGGCGACGAUCUGUAGCUGGUCUGAGAGGACGACCAGCCACACUGGGACUGAGACACGGCCCAGACUCCUACGGGAGGCAGCAGUGGGGAAUUUUGGACAAUGGGCGCAAGCCUGAUCCAGCAAUGCCGCGUGUGUGAAGAAGGCCUUCGGGUUGUAAAGCACUUUUGUCCGGAAAGAAAACCUCGUGGUUAAUACCCGUGGGGGAUGACGGUACCGGAAGAAUAAGCACCGGCUAACUACGUGCCAGCAGCCGCGGUAAUACGUAGGGUGCAAGCGUUAAUCGGAAUUACUGGGCGUAAAGCGUG
rnacentral:rRNA from 1 species